AUGUGGUCAUGUGUGAGCCCGUGUGUUCAUGUGUUCAUCUGUGAGCUCGUGCGUGUGGAGCACACAGGCCAGGUUGUGCUCGCUGCCCUCGCUGUCUCGUGCACUUGCUUCCGCGCCCCCUCAGUUCAGGCUCCUCUGGAUGCUCUGCACAUUCUGUGUAGGAAGGUGUUGCGAGGCCGACGCAGUCCUGUUUCCUGCCUGGUCUUUCUUUCUUUCUUUCUUUUUUUGGGCAGAGUUUAUUUAAAAAGCAAGUGGUCAGCGAUGCAGCUGUGAUGUCUCCUGGGUUUCCUUCUCCCGGCUUGUAGAAAUAACACAGUGCCUUUAUGCAGCGAGGCUUCGGCCCAUCUCGUCCUGCUCAGUGUUCAGCUGCACAAGCCUGAGUGUGACUGUUUGAAGCCUGGGACCAGCUACAGUCUCUGAUUCUUUGUUGUGUGCUUCAGUUCUGCUUCAGGUGCAGACGUGUUCUAAAAAACGUGCUGGAAGGUUCAUGCAGACAUCACACCACAAGACAGCGUCCAGAGAAUUAGUUUAUGCUUUAUCUCAAUGCUUGACUACAUGAGGGGAAUAACGGUCACGCUCCACAUCAACUUCUCUUUCAGUUUCUCUGCAUAAAAUCAGUGUCGCGUAAUCAGAUCAUUUCUGUGCUUGAAAUCACAAAACAUCAAACAGGUCCUUCUCCACUUUUAGCAUUCGUGCUACAAAUGUUUUUGUACAUUUACUGAAUUUCAUAAGACAGAGGUCUUCUGACACAGAGGUAAAGAAACUGCAGCGUCUUCAGAGGAAAAGGUGUUUUUUCCCGUGUUUUUUUCUUCGCUGAUGUGUUUGCGACCCGGUCAUGAGGUCGCCGUGUUGUCGCCGUGUUGUCGCCGUGUUCACUCCGUCUCGUGCUUUCUUUCUAGAUUUGACACAUGUCCGUGUUGGUGGCAGUCAUUGGCUCUGCUCUGCUUUCUGCUCGUCAGAGUUCUGGCACCUCGUACACCAUCCAACAAUCUGAAGGAUUCUUCUUUAUUAAUAAUGGAAACUAAGCUGAAUGUUACUCAUCUGAAGGCUAUACGUUAGCUGGCUAACACGACCAAUACGACACAAUGUAACAUACAAUGAGGAGCAUUUAGCUUGACUGGACUCAUGAAAGUAUUAUACAUUUACUGUAAACAUGUAACAAUUCCAGCUUAAAGUGGAACUUCCUGUUGCUAGUGGAGCUUCUUUCCUUUGAUACUAAAUGCCUUUGCUCUUUUUUUCUAGUCUGUGGUUGAUUUUAAUAAAUUAUUGUGUGGACUAUUUUGUCUGAGACUG
rnacentral:lncRNA from 1 species